AGACCCGAAACCCGGUGAUCUAGCCAUGGGCAGGUUGAAGGUUGGGUAACACUAACUGGAGGACCGAACCGACUAAUGUUGAAAAAUUAGCGGAUGACCUGUGGCUGGGGGUGAAAGGCCAAUCAAACCGGGAGAUAGCUGGUUCUCCCCGAAAGCUAUUUAGGUAGCGCCUCGUGAAUUCAUCUCCGGGGGUAGAGCACUGUUUCGGCUAGGGGGCCAUCCCGGCUUACCAACCCGAUGCAAACUGCGAAUACCGGAGAAUGUUAUCACGGGAGACACACGGCGGGUGCUAACGUCCGUCGUGAAGAGGGAAACAACCCAGACCGCCAGCUAAGGUCCCAAAGUCAUGGUUAAGUGGGAAACGAUGUGGGAAGGCCCAGACAGCCAGGAUGUUGGCUUAGAAGCAGCCAUCAUUUAAAGAAAGCGUAAUAGCUCACUGGUCGAGUCGGCCUGCGCGGAAGAUGUAACGGGGCUAAACCAUGCACCGAAGCUGCGGCAGCGAACGUAUCACCCAAGACAACUUUACGGAGUUGGCGAUUGACGGAGCGAAGCGACGUCAAAGCGUUCAUUAAAGUCGAGUUGGCUUAGGGAUACGUUCGUUGGGUAGGGGAGCGUUCUGUAAGCCUGUGAAGGUGUGUCGUGAGGCAUGCUGGAGGUAUCAGAAGUGCGAAUGCUGACAUAAGUAACGAUAAAGCGGGUGAAAAGCCCGCUCGCCGGAAGACCAAGGGUUCCUGUCCAACGUUAAUCGGGGCAGGGUGAGUCGACCCCUAAGG
rnacentral:rRNA from 1 species